rnacentral:rRNA from 1 species
AGAGGCGACGCACACUGGACUGAGACACGGCCCAGACUCUACGGGAGCCAGCAGUGGGAAUAUUGCACAAUGGGGAAACCUGAUGCAGCCGACGCCGCGUGAGGAUGACGGCCUUCGGGUUGUAAACCUCUUCAGUAGGGAAGAAGCCUUUCGAGGUGACGGUACCUGCAGAAGAAGUACCGGCUAACUACGUGCCAGCAGCCGCGGUAAUACGUAGGGUACAAGCGUUGUCCGGAAUUAUUGGGCGUAAAGAGCUCGUAGGCGGUCCGUCGCGUCUGCUGUGGAAACGCAAGGCUCAACCUUGCGCGUGCAGUGGGUACGGGCGGACUAGAGUGCAGUAGGGGAGUCUGGAAUUCCUGGUGUAGCGGUGAAAUGCGCAGAUAUCAGGAGGAACACCGGUGGCGAAGGCGGGACUCUGGGCUGUUACUGACGCUGAGGAGCGAAAGCAUGGGGAGCGAACAGGAUUAGAUACCCUGGUAGUCCAUGCCGUAAACGUUGGGCACUAGGUGUGGGGCUCAUUCCACGAGUUCCGCGCCGCAGCUAACGCAUUAAGUGCCCCGCCUGGGGAGUACGGCCGCAAGGCUAAAACUCAAAGGAAUUGACGGGGGCCCGCACAAGCGGCGGAGCAUGCGGAUUAAUUCGAUGCAACGCGAAGAACCUUACCAAGGCUUGACAUACACCGGAAUGUGCCAGAGAUGGUUCAGCCCUUUGGGCUGGUGUACAGGUGGUGCAUGGUUGUCGUCAGCUCGUGUCGUGAGAUGUUGGGUUAAGUCCCGCAACGAGCGCAACCCUCGUUCUAUGUUGCCAGCACGUGAUGGUGGGAACUCAUAGGAGACUGCCGGGGUCAACUCGGAGGAAGGUGGGGAUGACGUCAAAUCAUCAUGCCCUUUAUGUCUUGGGCUUCACGCAUGCUACAAUGGUCGGUACAAAGGGUUGCGAGACCGUGAGGUGGAGCGAAUCCCAGAAAGCCGAUCUCAGUUCGGAUCGUAGUCUGCAACUCGACUACGUGAAGUCGGAGUCGCUAGUAAUCGCAGAUCAG